CUCUAGUUUUGUCUCAUAUUCAUCUUUUAACCAUAUUUACUGAUUUCUUGACUCCACAUCAAACAGAGCAAUUUUGUCUUUACUGUUUUAAUACUUGUCAGACUUG